rnacentral:rRNA from 1 species
AGAGMCCUCAAGCGUUAUCCGGAAUCAUUGGGCGUAAAGCGUACCGAUAGGUGGUUAUACAAGUCAGAAGUGAAAUCUCCGAGCUCAACUCGGAAUCUGUCUUUUGAAACUGUAUGACUAGAGGGGCAAAGAGGAAGCUGGAACGAACGGUGUAGUAGUGAAAUGCGUUGAUAUCGUUCGGAACACCAAUAGCGUAGGCAGGCUUCUGGGUGCCACCUGACACUGCUAGGACGAAAGCGUGGGGAGCGAAGGGGAUUAGAUACCCCCGUAGUCCACGCUGUAAACGAUGAUGAUUAGGCGCUAGGGAGUAUCGACCCUCUUUAGUGCCAUAGCUAACGCGUUAAAUCAUCCGCCUGGGGAGUACGGCCGCAAGGCUA